UAGUGGCGAACGGGUGAGUAAUACGUGAGUAACCUGCCCUUGACUCUGGGAUAAGCCUGGGAAACUGGGUCUAAUACUGGAUACUACCUCUUACCGCAUGGUGGGUGGUGGAAAGGGUUUUACUGGUUUUGGAUGGGCUCACGGCCUAUCAGCUUGUUGGUGGGGUAAUGGCUCACCAAGGCGACGACGGGUAGCCGGCCUGAGAGGGUGACCGGCCACACUGGGACUGAGACACGGCCCAGACUCCUACGGGAGGCAGCAGUGGGGAAUAUUGCACAAUGGGCGGAAGCCUGAUGCAGCGACGCCGCGUGAGGGAUGACGGCCUUCGGGUUGUAAACCUCUUUCAGUAGGGAAGAAGCGAGAGUGACGGUACCUGCAGAAGAAGCGCCGGCUAACUACGUGCCAGCAGCCGCGGUAAUACGUAGGGCGCAAGCGUUGUCCGGAAUUAUUGGGCGUAAAGAGCUCGUAGGCGGUUUGUCGCGUCUGCUGUGAAAGCCCGGGGCUCAACCCCGGGUCUGCAGUGGGUACGGGCAGACUAGAGUGCAGUAGGGGAGACUGGAAUUCCUGGUGUAGCGGUGAAAUGCGCAGAUAUCAGGAGGAACACCGAUGGCGAAGGCAGGUCUCUGGGCUGUUACUGACGCUGAGGAGCGAAAGCAUGGGGAGCGAACAGGAUUAGAUACCCUGGUAGUCCAUGCCGUAAACGUUGGGCACUAGGUGUGGGGGACAUUCCACGUUUUCCGCGCCGUAGCUAACGCAUUAAGUGCCCCGCCUGGGGAGUACGGCCGCAAGGCUAAAACUCAAAGGAAUUGACGGGGGCCCGCACAAGCGGCGGAGCAUGCGGAUUAAUUCGAUGCAACGCGAAGAACCUUACCAAGGCUUGACAUUCACCGGACCGCCCCAGAGAUGGGGUUUCCCUUCGGGGCUGGUGGACAGGUGGUGCAUGGUUGUCGUCAGCUCGUGUCGUGAGAUGUUGGGUUAAGUCCCGCAACGAGCGCAACCCUCGUUCUAUGUUGCCAGCACGUGAUGGUGGGGACUCAUAGGAGACUGCCGGGGUCAACUCGGAGGAAGGUGGGGAUGACGUCAAAUCAUCAUGCCCCUUAUGUCUUGGGCUUCACGCAUGCUACAAUGGCCGGUACAAAGGGUUGCGAUACUGUGAGGUGGAGCUAAUCCCAAAAAGCCGGUCUCAGUUCGGAUUGAGGUCUGCAACUCGACCUCAUGAAGUCGGAGUCGCUAGUAAUCGCAGAUCAGCAACGCUGCGGUGAAUACGUUCCCGGGCCUUGUACACACCGCCCGUCAAGUCACGAAAGUUGGUAACACCCGAAGCCGGUGGC
rnacentral:rRNA from 1 species